GAGGGACCUGUCCAAGGUCACAUAGCUAGCAAAUAUCUGAAGCUAGUUUUUUUUUUAAGAAGAGGGUUUUUCCGGUUUCCAAAUUUGGUUUUUUUCCCAUGGACCCCCCUGGUGGCAGGGGUUUAAUUCGGGGGUUUUACCUCUAAUUAACUAAAAGGCCUUUAGGUUUUUUCCCGGCCCCCCCCCCCCCCCCCAGCUUUAGUUCCACAUCAUCAGUUACCGAUUGGAUAACUUGAAACUGGAUGUCUUAGAGUUACGCUCUGCCUGUCCAAAAUUAGACUCAUCAUUUCCCCCUAAAGCAAUAAUGGGCAACCUUUUGAGCUUGGUGUGUCAAAUUUUGCCAGAAAACUGAGCAUAACUCAGCUGUAUAAAAAAUGGAGACUUGAAUCCAGGACUUCAAUCCCCAGGAGUCCUUGCUCCACUUCCCCAGAAUGCUUUGUAAUCUCACUGAAUUCUCACCUGGGCCGAGAGCAAAUCAUUAUUUAAAGGGUCUCCGCCAUAGGCGGGGUCUCUUCUCUUCCUGUCUCCGUUGGCAAACAGACGAGUCUCAUGAUGCCCAGAGUUCCAUCCACUGCACUACCAGAUACCUCUAAGAACACUGGAUUGAGGAGCCCCAGGAAGGGUCCUUGGAGGUCAUUUAGCUCAAGACCUUCUGAGAUCCUUAUGGACUAUGUAAUGGCCUCAGUUUCUAUGAAUUGGACAUCACACCUCUAGGACAUUUGGAAUGAUCUUUUGAGUGAGAACCUUUCAGGAACUUGAAGAACCUCUUCUCCAGAUCGCAGGUUCUUAACUGAAGAUUCAUGAACUUGUUUUAAAAAAUAAUUUGAUAAAUAUUUUCAUCAGUUUUCUUAGCA
rnacentral:lncRNA from 1 species